rnacentral:rRNA from 1 species
CCUACGGGAGGCAGCAGUCGAGAAUCAUUCACAAUGGGGGAAACCCUGAUGGUGCGACGCCGCGUGGGGGAAUGAAGGUCUUCGGAUUGUAAACCCCUGUCAUGUGGGAGCAAAUUAAAAAGAUAGUACCACAAGAGGAAGAGACGGCUAACUCUGUGCCAGCAGCCGCGGUAAUACAGAGGUCUCAAGCGUUGUUCGGAAUCACUGGGCGUAAGGCGUGCGUAGGCUGUUUCGUAAGUCGUGUGUGAAAGGCGCGGGCUCAACCCGCGGACGGCACAUGAUACUGCGAGACUAGAGUAAUGGAGGGGGAACCGGAAUGCUCGGUGUAGCAGUGAAAUGCGUAGAUAUCGAGAGGAACACUCGUGGCGAAGGCGGGUUCCUGGACAUUAACUGACGCUGAGGCACGAAGGCCAGGGGAGCGAAAGGGAUUAGAUACCCGGGUAGUC